AUGGAUGCUGUUAUCCGGAUUCUGAGAUAUAUCAAAUGUGCUUUAGGAAAAAGUCUUGUGUAUGAAAACAAAGGACAUACUCAGAUAGUUGAAUUGUCUGAUGCUGAUUGGGCAGGAUCAUCCAUUGAUAGAAGAUCCACCUCGAGGUAUUGUGUCCUUGUUGGAGGAAAUCUCAUAUCCUAG